AUAAGAGAGAGGGAGACGAUGGUAGUUUGGGGCUCUGGACUGAGAAGGCAAAGGUUUCACCGUUAGCUAUGAUAUAUAGAGUGAAGCGACAUGUUUAAAUCGCGUUGGGAAGUGGCCUAGAUUAGAGGGACUUUGCAGUAUCAAAUCCUAACCCGAUAACUAAGCGUUUAAGACUUUUUAAUACUUUUAUAGGAUUUCGUGUUAGACCGCCUGAUGCCCAGUUAGUGAUUUAGAAGGACGCUGUUUUUCUGGAAAAGACAGUGACCGCUAAUUGGCAGUGAUUUGUUGGUGAUACGAACAUAUUGUGGGUUUUAGUGAAUUUUCUUCUUAACUUCGUUAGUGAAUAAUGUUAUUCGGAGGUCACUAAACAGCCUUCACGACGACCCUUCUAGACAGCAUCGGUUGCUUCAGACUCAUGGAUAGGAUAGAGCAGCUGUCCGAUCCGGCUCUUUGCUUGCAAGAACUGGUCACCGGAGUUACCACUUCGUCGGCCAAUUCCGAUAUUCAUGGCGUUCAUCAUUUGCACGAUUCGGUUAGUUCGGCGGUAUCGGUAAAUUCGGCCAUUUCUGGCAUUAUGAGUGCGGGUUCCCUCGGACAUCAUGUUACAUCGCACGAUUCUAAUCAUCAUCAUGGAGUGGUACCGCAUACUCCUUCCUUACACCAUGAGCCACUGGAGAAACUGAAACGUGGUGAGUACGUUCUAAGUUGA
rnacentral:lncRNA from 1 species